rnacentral:rRNA from 1 species
CCUACGGGUUGCACCAGUGGGGAAUAUUGCACAAUGGGCGCAAGCCUGAUGCAGCCAUGCCGCGUGUAUGAGGAAGGCCUUCGGGUUGUAAAGUACUUUCAGCGAGGAGGAAGGCAUUAAGGUUAAUAACCUUGGUGAUUGGCGUUACUCGCAGAAGAAGCACCGGCUAACUCCGUGCCAGCGGCCGCGGUAAUACGGAGGGUGCAAGCGUUAAUCGGAAUUACUGGGCGUGAAGCGCACGCAGGCGGUCUGUCAAGUCGGAUGUGAAAUCCCCGGGCUCAACCUGGGAACUGCAUUCGAAACUGGCAGGCUAGAGUCUUGUAGAGGGGGGUAGAAUUCCAGGUGUAGCGGUGAAAUGCGUAGAGAUCUGGAGGAAUGCCGGUGGCGAAGGCGGCCCCCUGGACAAAGACUGACGCUCAGGUGCGAAAGCGUGGGGAGCAAACAGGAUUAGAUACCCGAGUAGUC